AACGAACGCUGGCGGCAGGCUUCAUACAUGCAAGUCGAGCGGUAAGGGCUCCGCAAGGGGCCCCUAGAGCGGCGAACGGGUGAGUAACAGGUGGAUGAUCUGCCUUCCGGCGGGGGAUAACGGCUGGAAACGGCCGCUAAUACCGCGUACGGUUACGGGUAUAAACGCCCGUAAAGAAAGGCGCUUCACGGCGCCGCCGGAAGAUGAGUCCGCCCCCCAUUAGCUAGUUGGCGGGAUAAUAGCCCACCAAGGCGACGAUGGGUAGCCGAGCUGAGAGGUUGUUCGGCCACACUGGAACUGAGACACGGUCCAGACACCUACGGGAGGCAG
rnacentral:rRNA from 1 species